rnacentral:rRNA from 1 species
GAUGAACGCUGGCGGCGUGCCUAAUACAUGCAAGUCGAGCGAACGGACGAGACGCUUGCUUCUCUGAUGUUAGCGGAGGACGGGUGAGUAACAUGUGGAUAACCUACCUAUAAGACUGGGAUCACUUCGGGAAACCGGCGAUAACACCGGAUAAUAUUUUGCACCGCAUGGUUCAAAAGUGAGAGACGGCCUUGCUGGCACUUCUAGCUGGAUACGCGCUGCUUUAGCUAGUUGGUACGGUAACGGCUUACCAAGGGAAUGAUGCAUAGCCGAGCGGAGGGGGGGAUCGGCGACACUGGAACUGAGCCACGGUCCAGAAUCCGACGGGAGGCAGCAGUAGGGAAGCUACCGCAAUGGGCGAAAGCCUGACGGAUCAACGCAGCGUGAGUGAUGAAGCUCCUCGGGUCGUAAAACGCUGUUAUUGGGGAAGAACACAUGUGUAAGUAACGGUGCAUAUCUGGAGGGAACCGAAACAGAAGGCCACGGCUAACUACGU